UACGUAGGGGGCAAGCGUUGUCCGGAAUCAUUGGGCGUAAAGAGCGUGUAGGCGGCCCGAUAAGUCCGCUGUGAAAGUCCAGGGCUCAACCCUGGAGUGCCGGUGGAUACUGUCGGGCUCGAAUCCGGAAGAGGUGAGUGGAAUUCCUGGUGUAGCGGUGAAAUGCGCAGAUAUCAGGAGGAACACCAAUGGCGAAGGCAGCUCACUGGGACGGUAUUGACGCUGAGACGCGAAAGCGUGGGGAGCGAACAGG
rnacentral:rRNA from 1 species